rnacentral:rRNA from 1 species
GAUGAACGCUGGCGGCAGGCCUAACACAUGCAAGUCGAGCGGGAACUUCGGUUCUAGCGGCGGACGGGUGAGUAAUGCGUAGGAAGCUACCCGACAGAGGGGGACACCAGUUGGAAACGACUGUUAAUACCGCAUAAUGUCUACGGACCAAAGUGUGGGACCUUCGGGCCACAUGCUGUCGGAUGCGCCUACGUGGGAUUAGCUAGUUGGUGAGGUAAUGGCUCACCAAGGCGACGAUCCCUAGCUGGUUUGAGAGGAUGAUCAGCCACACUGGAACUGAGACACGGUCCAGACUCCUACGGGAGGCAGCAGUGGGGAAUAUUGGACAAUGGGCGAAAGCCUGAUCCAGCAACGCCGUGUGUGUGAAGAAGGCCUUCGGGUUGUAAAGCACUUUUAGUUGGGAAGAAAAGCUCAUGGGUAAUAUCCAUGAGUGCUGACGUUACCAACAGAAAAAGCACUGGCUAACUCUGUGCCAGCCGCCGCGGUAAAAC